rnacentral:rRNA from 1 species
GAUGAACGCUGGCGGCGUGCCUAAUACAUGCAAGUCGAGCGAACAGACGAGGAGCUUGCUCCUCUGACGUUAGCGGCGGACGGGUGAGUAACACGUGGAUAACCUACCUAUAAGACUGGGAUAACUUCGGGAAACCGGAGCUAAUACCGGAUAAUAUAUUGAACCGCAUGGUUCAAUAGUGAAAGACGGUUUUGCUGUCACUUAUAGAUGGAUCCGCGCCGCAUUAGCUAGUUGGUAAGGUAACGGCUUACCAAGGCAACGAUGCGUAGCCGACCUGAGAGGGUGAUCGGCAACACUGGAACUGAGACCCGGUCCAGACUCCUACGGGAGGCAGCAGUAGGGAAUCUUCCGCAAUGGGCGAAAGCUUGACGGAGCAACGCCGCGUGAGUGAUGAAGGUCUUCGGAUCGUAAAACUCUGUUAUUAGGGAAGAACAAAUGUGUAAGUAACUAUGCACGUCUUGACGGUACCUAAUCAGAAAGCCACGGCUAACUACGUG